AGUUAAUACGGUUUUUCGUUGUGUUGGCCACAUGAUAUCUAUCCUUUAACCGCCGGGCAUAGAAGCAUAGAGUUUUACAUUAUAUGCCCCACGGACCACAGGGUUUGAGAAGGAAACCUUUUAGGCCAACGCAGAAAUGUUGAUACACUUUCAUCCUAAAAACUGAACAGAUUGUGUUUCGUACUCUGUUAUGUUUAUAAUUGAACAUAUAUGUUGAUGGACUUGAGUUAAAUUAAAAAAUAUGGAAUUUAACGUUUCCCAGAAUGUGAAUUAAUUAGUAAUAUUAUUAGUGGUAUUUUUGUGCUACUGCCCGAUUAAAGUUAAACUAUUUUUAUUUGGCCAAUUCAUUUAGUUAAGUAUUCUAUUAUAUAUCUUUGGUCAUAUAUUUACAUGCUACUGUAUAUAUGGUAUGGAUUAUGUGAUUAAUUUUACCUUAACAUUGUGUUAAAUCUUAAUGCCGAAAAAAACAAAGAAAAAAACAACAACGUAGUACUCUUAUAUUAAUGUAGGCUACGACAAGCUACAAACAGCUAGUUUUUUUUUUA